rnacentral:rRNA from 1 species
CCUACGGGUGGCAGCAGUGAGGAAUAUUGGUCAAUGGUCGGGAGACUGAACCAGCCAAGACGCGUGAGGGAGGAAGGUACAGAGUAUCGUAAACCUCUUUUGUCAGGGAACAAAGGCGGGGACGUGUCCCCGGAUGAGAGUACCUGAAGAAAAAGCAUCGGCUAACUCCGUGCCAGCAGCCGCGGUAAUACGGAGGAUGCGAGCGUUAUCCGGAUUUAUUGGGUUUAAAGGGUGCGCAGGCGGUCGGUCAGGUCAGCGGUAAAAGCCCGGGGCUCAACCUCGGCCCGCAGUUGAAACUGGCAGUCUCGAGUUGGAGAGAAGUAUGCGGAAUGCGCGGUGUAGCGGUGAAAUGCAUAGAUAUCGCGCAGAACUCCGAUUGCGAAGGCAGCAUGCCGGCUCCACACUGACGCUGAGGCACGAAAGCGUGGGUAUCGAACAGGAUUAGAUACCCUAGUAGUC